ACGCCCGAUCUCGUCCGAUCUCGGAAGCUAAGCAGGGUCAGGCCUGGUUAGUACUUGGAUGGGAGACCGCCUGGGAAUACCAGGUGCUGUAAGCUU
rnacentral:rRNA from 1 species